rnacentral:rRNA from 1 species
GUGGGGAAUAUUGGACAAUGGGCGCAAGCCUGAUCCAGCCAUGCCGCGUGAGUGAUGAAGGCCUUAGGGUUGUAAAGCUCUUUCACCGGUGAAGAUAAUGACGGUAACCGGAGAAGAAGCCCCGGCUAACUUCGUGCCAGCAGCCGCGGUAAUACGAAGGGGGCUAGCGUUGUUCGGAAUUACUGGGCGUAAAGCGCACGUAGGCGGAUAUUUAAGUCAGGGGUGAAAUCCCAGAGCUCAACUCUGGAACUGCCUUUGAUACUGGGUACCUAGAGUAUGGAAGAGGUAAGUGGAAUUCCGAGUGUAGAGGUGAAAUUCGUAGAUAUUCGGAGGAACACCAGUGGCGAAGGCGGCUUACUGGUCCAUUACUGACGCUGAGGUGCGAAAGCGUGGGGAGCAAACAGGAUUAGAAACCCGAGUAGUCC